rnacentral:rRNA from 1 species
AACGAACGCUGCCGGCAGGCUUAACACAUGCAAGUCGAGCGCCCCGCAAGGGUUGCUGCUGACGUGUGAGUAACGCGUGGGAACGUACCCUUAUCUUCUUGAUAGCUCCGGGAAACUGGAAUUAAUACCGAAUGUGCCCUUUGGGGGAAAGAUUUAUCGGAUAAGGAUCGGCCCUCGUUGGAUUAGCUAGUUGGUGGGGUAAAGGCCUACCAAGGCGACGAUCCAUAGCUGGUCUGAGAGGAUGAUCAGACACACUGGGACUGAGACACGGCCCAAACUCCUACGGGAGGGAGCAGAGGGGAAUAUUGGAAAAUGGGGGGAAGCAUGAUGGAGCCAUGACGGGUGAGUGAUGAAGGCAUUAGGGUUGUAAAGCUCGUUAAAAGGAGAAGAUAAUGACGGUAUCAGGAGAAGAAGCCACGGCUAACUUCGUG